rnacentral:misc_RNA from 1 species
UUUAGUUGAAAAUUCAAACGUAUAGCAAUUAGUAUAUAAAAUAAGUAUUUUUAAAUUAUAAAUACAAAUUCCACAAAAAUAAUUUACUAUUCCAUGAAUCAAACUAAUUAAAAGAGCAUAAUUAUUGUUGCAGAAAGUAGCAAUCAAUACAUGACCAGAAAUCAUCAACUCAAUGACUCCUGAAGCAGCCCCAAGAUUUUCACUGUUCCAGGGUGAGAUGUCUCGGGCGAGAAUUCAUACUACAAUACAUGUAAUGAUAUUCUCAAUGCCGUCAAUUAACCUGUCCAACAGUUAACAUUCAUCAACGUAACCAAACAUGUAGAAAUAUGUAACAAAAUUUUGUUUUUCUCUGAGAAAACUCUGGCUCCUUAAUUGGCUUUCAGGUAUGUGGAAACAAUUUCCAUCUUAUAGGGUACUCAUGGGUAUUUCAUAUCAGUUUAGAGGGUUUAAGUAUCACCCAUCAUUAUCUAAUUGUCCAGUCAGGUCCCACACACAUGAUCUCUUCUUCCCUGAUCUCAACAUUACCUCUAUACAAUUUGAACAACUCUAUUGCAGUAGAAGAUAAUCGACAACACUUGCUAAUAUAUAAAACUGAGAGCCUUUUG